rnacentral:tRNA from 2 species
CAGAAUAUAGUUAAAUUAAUAACAUAAAUUUUGGAUAUUUAAAUUUUAUUUUAUAUUCUGA